GCCGGGGUGGCGGAAUUGGUAUACGCAGUGGACUUAAAAUCCAUCCCCCGAAAGGGGUUGCGGGUUCGAGUCCCGCCCUCGGCA
rnacentral:tRNA from 1 species